GACGAACGCUGGCGGCGUGCUUAAUACAUGCAAGUCAACUGAACUUGAAGUAGCAAUAUUUCAAGGGAGGUGGCGCACGGGUGAGUAACACGUAGGUAAUCUGCCUUUAGGUCUGACAUAAUUCCGCGAAAGCGGGACUAAUUUCAGAUGAUGCAGCGGCUCGACAUCGAGACAGUUGUUAAAUCUUCGGAGCCUAAAGAUGAGCCUGCGUCUGAUUAGGUAGUUGGCGGAGUAAUAGCCCACCAAGCCAUCGAUCAGUAGCUGGUCUGAGAGGAUGAUCAGCCACACUGGAACUGAGACACGGUCCAGACUCCUACGGGAGGCAGCAGUAAGGAAUAUUGCUCAAUGGCCGAAAGGCUGAAGCAGCAACGCCGCGUGGAGGAUGAAAUACUUUUGUAUGUAAACUCCUGUAAGAAGGGAAAAUAAACAGAUUUUCUGUGUUGAUUGUACCUUCAGAGU
rnacentral:rRNA from 1 species